rnacentral:rRNA from 1 species
GACGAACGCUGGCGGCGUGCCUAAUACAUGCAAGUCGAACGCAUUUUCUUUCACCGUAGCUUGCUACACCGAAAGAAAAUGAGUGGCGAACGGGUGAGUAACACGUGGGUAACCUGCCCAUCAGCGGGGGAUAACACUUGGAAACAGGUGCUAAUACCGCAUAAUUCCAUUUACCGCAUGGUAGAUGGGUGAAAGGCGCUUUUGCGUCACUGAUGGAUGGACCCGCGGUGCAUUAGCUAGUUGGUGGGGUAACGGCCUACCAAGGCUGCGAUGCAUAGCCGACCUGAGAGGGUGAUCGGCCACACUGGGACUGAGACACGGCCCAGACUCCUACGGGAGGCAGCAGUAGGGAAUCUUCGGCAAUGGACGCAAGUCUGACCGAGCAACGCCGCGGGAGUGAAGAAGGUUUUCGGAUUGUAAAACUCUGUUGUUAGAGAAGAACAAGGAUGAGAGUGGAAAGUUCAUCCCUUGACGGUAUCUAACCAGAAAGCCACGGCUAACUACGUG